rnacentral:rRNA from 2 species
UACAGAGGUCCCGAGCGUUGUUCGGAUUCAUUGGGCGUAAAGGGUGCGUAGGCGGCGGGGUAAGUCUGAUGUGAAAUCCCGGAGCUCAACUCCGGAACUGCAUUGGAUACUGCCUUGCUUGAGUACUGGAGAGGGAACUGGAAUUUACGGUGUAGCAGUGAAAUGCGUAGAGAUCGUAAGGAAGGCCAGUGGCGAAGGCGAGUUCCUGGACAGUUACUGACGCUGAGGCACGAAGGCCAGGGGAGCAAACGGG